GUGGGGAAUUUUUCGCAAUGGGGGAAACCCUGACGAAGCAACGCCGCGUGGAGGAUGAAGGCCUUCGGGUUGUAAACUCCUGUCGACCGGGACGAAAGUGGUGCGACCUAAUACGUCGUGCCAUCGACUGUACCGGUGGAGGAAGCCACGGCUAACUCUGUGCCAGCAGCCGCGGUAAUACAGAGGUGGCAAGCGUUGUUCGGAAUUACUGGGCGUAAAGGGCGCGUAGGCGGCCCCGUAAGUCCCGUGUGAAAUCCCCCGGCUCAACUGGGGAACUGCACGGGAAACUGCGGGGCUUGAGUUCGGGAGAGGGAAGCGGAAUUCCGGGUGUAGCGGUGAAAUGCGUAGAUAUCCGGAGGAACACCGGUGGCGAAGGCGGCUUCCUGGACCGACACUGACGCUGAGGCGCGAAAGCUAGGGGAGCAAACGGGAUUAGAAACCCUUGUAGUCC
rnacentral:rRNA from 1 species